GUGUGAUCAAAAUUUUAAACGUCCAACACUCUAACCAGAAACUAAAUAGUAAAUACCUACGUUUAAUUAUUUUGGUCUUANNUAGUAACGCGAAAUAUUGACAACAGUAUCAAGCAAAAUGUAUAAUGAUCUUUAUAGAUCUUGGAUAUGAGCCACGAGACGCAGACAUUUCUUAUCGGCCAAAACUUACAAAUUAUUUUAACACAGACUACUGGCAUACACACCUCUAACAUCUGUCUACCAUCGCUAGUGGUAAAUCAUGAUCGUUAAUCGAUUAAACAGAAGAUUGCUCUUGGGUUGGCCACCAAAGAAGAAUUNUUGAAACAAAUAAAAGUUGAAUUAAAUAUGUUGGAUACCUAUAUAUCAACUUAAAAUAUUGAUCAACAAAUGAAAGAAAAUUACACUGAAUAUAUUAAUACAGAAAUACUUACCAUUUUAUCAAAUCGUAUCAAUGAUAUUAUGUACAGCCGUAUGUUUCUAAUGUUUCCUGUUGAAAAGAUUUCAGUAUCAGAAUAUAUUGAGUUCUGUUCA
rnacentral:lncRNA from 1 species